rnacentral:lncRNA from 1 species
GGAUUUGUAACCUCAAAUUUAAAUGGCAGGCUGGAGACAGAAGACAGAGCCUUAUGUGUCUGCUAGAAUGGGAUCUAGAACAGAGACCCCUGAACAAAGCUGAAAUUCUCACCCUCAGAGAAAAGGUGUGAACCAUUGUGCCCAGCUUCCAUUUCCUCUUUGCUCUCCAACACAUAUGGACUCCUACUGUCAUCCAAGUUGUUUCACUUAAAACUUACCAGGUUUCUGAAAACCAGAAACAGAUGGACUAAUCCAAACUCCUCAGAACAGACGGCUUAUCAAACUCCCCGCCUUGAGGACCCGGGGCUCCCCUGCGGAGUGCA